CGGCAGGCUAACACAUGCAAGUCGAGGGGUAACAUGAGUGCUUGCACUUGAUGACGACCGGCGCACGGGUGCGUAACGCGUAUGCAACCUACCUUCUACAGGGGGAUAGCCCAGAGAAAUUUGGAAUAAUACCCCAUACGAUCUUUACUUGGCAUCGAGUAAAGAAGAAAACUUCGGUGGUAGAAGAUGGGCAUGCGUCCUAUUAGUUAGUUGGUGAGGUAACGGCUUACCAAGACAUCGAUUGGUAGGGGCCCUGAGAGGGGGAUCCCCCACACUGGUACUGAGACACGGACCAGACUCCUACGGGAGGCAGCAGUGAGGAAUAUUGGACAAUGGAGGCAACUCUGAUCCAGCCAUGCCGCGUGCAGGAAGACUGCCCUAUGGGUUGUAAACUGCUUUUAUACAGGAAGAAACUGCGCUACGUGUAGCGUACUGACGGUACUGUAAGAAUAAGGAUCGGCUAACUCCGUGCCAGCAGCCGCGGUAAUACGGAGGAUCCAAGCGUUAUCCGGAAUCAUUGGGUUUAAAGGGUCCGUAGGUGGUCCAUUAAGUCAGAGGUGAAAGCCUAUCGCUCAACGAUAGAACUGCCUUUGAUACUGGUUAUCUUGAGUUAUUAUGAAGUAGUUAGAAUAUGUAGUGUAGCGGUGAAAUGCAUAGAUAUUACAUAGAAUACCAAUUGCGAAGGCAGAUCACUAACAAUGUACUGACGCUCAUGGACGAAAGCGUGGGGAGCGAACAGGAUUAGAUACCCUGGUAGUCCACGCCGUAAACGAUGGAUACUAACUGUUCGACCUUCGGGUUGAGUGGUUAAGCGAAAGUGAUAAGUGACCCACCUGGGGAGUACGUUCGCAAGAAUGA
rnacentral:rRNA from 1 species